UACGUAGGGGGCAAGCGUUGUCCGGAAUCAUUGGGCGUAAAGAGCGUGUAGGCGGCUUGGUAAGUCCGCUGUGAAAGUCCAGGGCUCAACCCUGGAAUGCCGGCGGAAACUGUCAAGCUUGAGUCCGGAAGAGGCGAGUGGAAUUCCUGGUGUAGCGGUGAAAUGCGCAGAUAUCAGGAGGAACACCGAUGGCGAAGGCAGUGGUCUGGGCCGAAACUGACGCUGAGGAGCGAAAGCGUGGGUAGCGAACAGG
rnacentral:rRNA from 1 species